GAUGAAGAACGUAGCGAAAUGCGAUAAGUAAUGUGAAUUGCAGAAUUCAGUGAAUGAUCGAAUCUUUGAACGCACAUUGCGCCCCUUGGUAUUCCGAGGGGCAUGCCUGUUCGAGCGUCAUUAUAACCCCUCAAGCUCAGCUUGGUGUUGGGGCCUGCCGCACGGGCAGCCCUUAAAAUCAGUGGCGGUGCCAUCUGGCUCUAAGCGUAGUAAUUCUUCUCGCUAUAGAGUCCCGGUGGAUGCUUGCCAUUAACCCCCAAUUUUCUAUGGUUGACCUCGGAUCAGGUAGGGAUACCCGCUGAACUUAAGCAUAUCAAUAAGCGGAGGA
rnacentral:misc_RNA from 1 species